GGCUCCGGAGGGGGGGGGGGUGUAAUAGCGCGGGAGGUGGGGCUAAGGGGACCCUCAUCCUCCCUUUCCGACAAGUGGGGGUCCUGAGCGCUGCCCAGAAGGGGUCCAGAGAAUGUUGUGGGCUGGGGCACACCCGCCGGGGCAGAAAUUGGAGGACACCACCGACGUCGACAGAAUCCUUUCUAUCCUUCCUUUCAGCUGCCCGGUGUUCUCCACCCCUGCGUUAGCACUCUGUAGUCUGGGGACCUCCCGGGAACGUCCCGGGGCUAGCAACCAAGGGGGCUCUCGGAUGCUCUGUGGAUCGCCGCUUCGCCCUUACUUUGGGGACGGUCACACGCGUCCCGCUUCCCCCGGUCGCUUUAGAUCAGGCGUCUGCGCCCUCCCCGGCUCCUCACCCCCACCCCCAGAGUCAAAUGUGGGCCUCUCCUGGAAAUCCUUUGCGAAGGGGACAAACUUUUGAGUGGACGAAAAUCUAUUGGAGCCUGUCCAGAGCAGCCAAGAUGAUGUUGCUGAACAAGUGUAGGCCAAAGCCUGAGGACCACAGUGCUCUGUCUUGACCCUGAUGCCAAAGGGAAUCAUCACACUGGGCCACCCUGCUCUGGGCUCUGGGUGCUUCACCUCCGUGACCCUGCUUCU
ensembl:antisense Gm10830 predicted gene 10830